UCUAUAUUUCUCUUCAGGAAUUAGAAGAGACUUCAGAGACAAAGUUCUCCUGUCUCACAUUCUCCUGAGGUAUUAAAGAGCAACCUCUAAACAAUAAAAUUCUACAUUGGACAGUAUUCAUGUUAGGGAAGAGGGGGAAAAAUUAAACUAAAGGCUAAAAGGCUAAAACUAAACCCUUAUAGAAUUUUCUUAAGCCAUGAUUUAUGCUGUCCUCUGUUUCACCUUUCUCUUUUUUUUUUUUUCUCCUUUUAAUCACACUUCAUUUGACCUUGGACCCCAACUGUAAUUUCAAAAAGAGGAUUUUACCUCAUGCACAGAUCAAAUGAAACAAAUGGAUGCAUUGCUCUUGACAUAAAAUGGUGCAAUAUCUCAAUAAGGAAAAACAAAUUCAUAGUAUAUGAGAAAUUAAAAACAUAAAAUGUUCAGCAAACUUAAUUAAAUUAAGGAAAACUUUGCCAUGCAUUUAAAAUGAGCCUUUUUAUAAUAUUAAUACUUUAAACAAAUGCUGUCACAUACUGUAGCUGUAGUAAUCGCAUGACGAAGUAACAGAAGAACUCUUUACUUACAAAAUAAUUAAGAACACGUAGGAGAUUACAGGAAUAAUGCCAGGACACAAGUCAAACACAUCAACAUAAAUUACACGAAACAAUAAACAGAGGAAACUAAGGGCUUAUUUACACAGAACUAGAUAACUAAAAAAACUAGAAACAGGUGCUUAACUUAAUCAGGAACAAUGGAGACUAACAAUGAACGAGAACACAUGCGAACAGGAUCAGGGAAAACAAAACCAAAACACAAUGAAACUAAACAGAACUAAACAUAACCCUGACAUUACACCCCCUCCUGGAAGGCACAUCCUCGUGGCAUAACAACAUAGUCCAAGAGGGGAGCGAGGGUGGGGGAUCUGGAGGAGGAUGAGGAGUUGGAGACUGGUGGAAACUGGGAGGAGCCAGCAGAUAUAGGCACCAUGGAGAUGAUGGAGGGAGGAGCCAGGGAAGCAAUGAAGGUAGGAGGAGUCAGGUGGGAACCCAGAGCACAACCAGAAUGAAGGCCCAAGACAGAACAGAUGGUGGGUGGAGCCUGGGUGGAGUCAGCAGUCCAAACACUAGUGCUAGGAGAUUUGGAGACCCAGUGCAGCCGAGGAGAAGAUGAGACUGGCGACACGUUCGUCUUGGAGGCCAAGGUAGAACUGCAGUGAUGAGCAGCCGAGGUGGAGCCAGGGUGCUGGAGGACUGAGGCGAAGCCAGUGAGACUGAGGACCAAAGCAGAGCCAGAGGGAAGGCAGAGCCCGACAGAGCCCAAGGGGUGGAGGGACAAGGCGUAGCCGAAAGCCCAGAAGUCCAUGGUGUAGGCAGAGCGUCAACUGACCAAGGUGGAGCCGGAGGGACGAGGGUGCACGGUGAAGUUGUAAGGAUGAGGGUGGAGCUGAAGGGGCGAGGAGCCAAGGUGAAGCUGACUGGUUGACGGGCUGAGGUGCAGUGGUCCUCGGGGGUGCGAUGUUCCUGCUCUAAACAGAGCAUGCGAACAGCCACAGGUCAGAUGUACUUAGCAUGACUGAACCCACUGGAUUUCACACAUAUGGAGUCUUUACAUGGAUAAAGCAGAGGAUAAGGUAAAGGAGAGGUUAGAGGAGAAUUAACACAGCUCAUCUCCUCACCUGUAAACCUGCUUUCACUCACUGACCCCACUCUCCACAGACGUGUACACAGAUGGUCGGCUGAUGCUAAAGACCACACACAAACCCUGAGCUGGAGGUGGAAGAUGUAAACUUCAGUUGAAUGCUUUGGCACAGAAUAUAAAACAGCAACUCAUCAGUGGACAGGGUGAUGACGACACUCUCCAGAGACUUUCCAUCUUUCCCUCCACUCCACCGACCAAUGGGAUUGACGUGCGGGACCACCAAGGCGUGCUGUAUCAGCGGAUCCAGAAGGGGAACAACAACAUUAAGAUCCAGCUCGUCGUUCCCAGGGCCCUGAUCCAGCAGACGGUGCAGCACUUCCAUCAGAGGACAGCAGAGCGACAUCAUGGGCGGCUGAAGACAGUACUGCAGGUCCUGGAAGUUGCCUGGUGGCCCACGAUCCGCAGCGACAUCUGGAGAUUCGUCAGCGACUGCAAGUCGUGUGGUGUGGAGACCAAGGAGUGAGCAGUCAUCAACCCUAGCAGCAAACCACCUCAUCAUCCACCUCAUCACCGUUUAUCAUCAACAUCACCCACCAAAGAGACCCACAAGCCGGAUAGGAGGAAAGGCCAGGGGGAGUGGCGUGCCAGGAAGGUUGGGUGCUUCAGGAUCCUGGGGGGAUUGGCGCCACCUGCCCAAGGACACCCAGGCUGGUAUCGAAUUCCACCUCUCUAGUGUUCCAAUAGAUUCCUACGGCAGACUAGUGCCUCUGUGGGAGGGCCUAGUUUUAUCUAAUUUAUUAUUUUUAUUAUUUAUUUAUUAUUUAUAAUUCUAAUUUAAUAUCUAAGACAUUUUAAGACACACAUUUGAGAGGAUACCCAAUACAUGGAUAAUGGUUGACCGUACCUUUUUAAGGACUAGUUUCUUCCCCAAGGUGAUGUAAGCUAAGGUGGGGGACUAUGUGACACUGUCACAUAAAAUACAUGUUUUACCGCUCUAUUUAUUACAAUGAUUUUAUGUAUAAUAGAAUUUAAUUGGUUUACAUGGUUUUUUUUUUUUUUGUCCAUUUUUCCUCUUAUUGGUUUUAAUGUGUGUAUGUCUUUAAAUGAGUCUGGGUCUGCCUGUCAUGUGACUGAUCACAUGACAGGAAUCAGGAGGUAAGCCAGUAUAAAGGAGGCAGCAUGGCAGACAAACUGGGUCAUUAAUCAAAGACCACAAGCUGGAUUGCAGAGUUGUUUUAAGGAUUUACCAUUCCAGCACACCACAUCACUUUCAUUGGAUUAUCACUUCUGUGGACUUUGUAUAUACACCAAUGGACACUUUCACAUUGGGACUUUCUACUAGGACUCUUAAGGACUGUUUUAGGGUAUGGUGCAAACGGACUCCACGCUUUUAACAGCCUAAGUUUUUCUAGUUUUAUUGUGUUGUUUUAAGUUCCUUGUGAAUAUUGUAAAUACACUUUAGUCAUUUA